UACGUAGAAGACGAGUGCUAUUCAUCUUUAACAGGUUUAAAGGGUACCUAGACGGAAAUCAAGCCAUAGUAGGGACUAAUUUUCUAGAGUUUUAUAGGUGAAGAUCGAAUUACCUGAGGAGCGAUGGAAUGCAUUGAUACGGUAAGACGGAUAGCAGCGAAGGCAAUCUUCUAUGUAAUAACUGACGUUGAGGGACGAAGC
rnacentral:rRNA from 1 species